UGGGGAAUAUUGCACAAUGGGCGCAAGCCUGAUGCAGCCAUGCCGCGUGUAUGAAGAAGGCCUUCGGGUUGUAAAGUACUUUCAGCGGAGGAGGAGCAUUAAGGUUAAUAACCUUAGUGAUUGACGUUACCUCGACAGAAGAAGCCGAACCGGCCUAACUCCGUGCCAGCAGCCGCGUAAUACGGAGGGUGCAAGCGUUAAUCGGAAUUACUGGGCGUAAAGCGCACGCAGGCGGUCUGUCAAGUCGGAUGUGAAAUCCCCGGGCUCAACCUGGGAACUGCAUUCGAAACUGGCAGGCUAGAGUCUUGUAGAGGG
rnacentral:rRNA from 1 species